rnacentral:rRNA from 1 species
GGUUAAGCGACUAAGCGUACACGGUGGAUGCCCUGGCAGUCAGAGGCGAUGAAGGACGUGCUAAUCUGCGAAAAGCGCCGGCGAGGUGAUAUGAACCUUUGACCCGGCGAUGUCCGAAUGGGGAAACCCAGUGUGUUCCGACACACUAUCGUUAACUGAAUACAUAGGUUAACGAGGCGAACCGGGGGAACUGAAACAUCUAAGUACCCCGAGGAAAAGAAAUCAACCGAGAUUCCCCCAGUAGCGGCGAGCGAACGGGGAGCAGCCCGGAGUCUGAAUCAGCUUGUGUGUUAGUGGAACGGUCUGGAAAGUCCGACGGUACAGGGUGAUAGUCCCGUACACGAAAACACACUUGCUGUGAACUCGAAGAGUAGGGCGGGACACGUGGUAUCCUGUCUGAAUAUGGGGGGACCAUCCUCCAAGGCUAAAUACUCCUGACUGACCGAUAGUGAACCAGUACCGUGAGG